rnacentral:rRNA from 1 species
GACGAACGCUGGCGGCGUGCUUAACACAUGCAAGUCGAACGGAAAGGCCCUGCUUUUGUGGGGUGCUCGAGUGGCGAACGGGUGAGUAACACGUGAGUAACCUGCCCUUGACUUUGGGAUAACUUCAGGAAACUGGGGCUAAUACCGGAUAGGAGCUCCUGCUGCAUGGUGGGGGUUGGAAAGUUUCGGCGGUUGGGGAUGGACUCGCGGCUUAUCAGCUUGUUGGUGGGGUAGUGGCUUACCAAGGCUUUGACGGGUAGCCGGCCUGAGAGGGUGACCGGCCACAUUGGGACUGCGAUACGGCCCAGACUCCUACGGGAGGUAGCAGUGGGGAAUAUUGCACAAUGGGCGGAAGCCUGAUGCAGCAACGCCGCGUGCGGGAUGACGGCCUUCGGGUUGUAAACCGCUUUCGCCUGUGACGAAGCGUGAGUGACGGUAAUGGGUAAAGAAGCACCGGCUAACUACGUG